GGGGGCGUUUUGGGAUUCGACGGGGAUAGAUCGAGCGUUAGCUGCGAGCCGAGGGGUUGCGUCCUUCGUAAAAAACGCAAGGCCAAAUGUAACUGGCAAACAAGAAAACUACGCUCUGGCUGCUUAAUUCCAGCCAGGAUCCACUUCACCAUCGCCCGUGUGGUGAAGCUGGGUCUCAAAUUCAGCGGGCUAGCUAACCGGAGUCGUCACCGGCCGGUUGGCGAAAUCUAGGUGACUGGUCCGUAGGAACGCCUGUCACUGGGCAGUCCGACGGACGAGAUCUCAAUACAGUGACUACGCUCGUAGACGCUGACGCGGCGAUAUCUUCGGACAGCGGUUCGACUCCGCUCGCCUCCACCA
rnacentral:tmRNA from 1 species